GUGUUGGCAGUCACAAGGGACAGUGACUUGUAAUAAGACUCGUCAUUCCACUCUGUGCACAGGCUGAUAAAAUAAACAUUUACUUUUAGGCAUAAAAUACACUGGCACCAAACCAAUGCUUGCUACUUGACAUACCAAAAGUAUUUAAAGACAGGGUGGGAAUGGCUUCUCCUUGUAUGGUUUGAUGUUACUUAAAAUUUUCUUGUGGGCACUCCCUGAACACUUUGAAGCCAGCGGCUGACUAAGAGGCCAUGUUGUCAGCCCAAGGGGCUUGCCUUACCAACGGGAACUCAAGGUGCAAUUUUUUUAAUAGCCAAAAUGAGACAAGAACUAUACAAGAAAAAAUACAGAUGAAACUUACUCAUGGACAUAAAGAAAGAACCCAGCAAUGAGUAAAUAUUGAUAAAGGCAAUGGCCUCCCAAGCACUAGGCUUUGGGGUGACGUGUAAAGGUUACCCUGACUUCUACAGGAAAUAGCUCGGUGUUUAUGACAGAAGGUUCUGCGUGUGUCUGAAAAGGCAGGCAGCACGGGAUAAAACACUAAGGACCCACGUGACUUGGGACAGCUUGUUCUUACAUGCUUCAGAUCUUAGGAAAUGGUUCUUGGAGAACUUGGCAGAAGACGAAAAGAAACUAUAAAGCAGUCCCACUCGAAUCUACUGAACCCUCGUGGGCUAGAAAGGUCUCUCUGGUCAAGCCACAGUGCUUGAGAGCCGCCGCCGCUCUUCCAAGUUGCAGCCUUUUGGGGUGGGAGAAUGCUUGUGUUCUCCCCCGACCACUGAUGACCACUCAGUCGUGGAUGGAUCCUUCCCUGGGGAAGUCUCUUCUCCACCUGCAGCUUCUCUCUGGUUCGGAUAGGAACAGUGCUAACUAAUGACCAGUCACCAUGGAGACACUUCCUACUCAGGACCCUGUCUGUGCCGAGGACAUGGAAGAGCAGAGCAUCCUGCUUGGGGGCUGGAUCAGAUAUGGCUGGUCUGUCUUAAAAACCUGAGUGGUUUGCACAUUGGCACAAGGUGUCCUGGUUCCGUAAACAACAAACAUCUGUUGAGGCAGCCAGUUAAA